rnacentral:rRNA from 1 species
GACGAACGCUGGCGGCGUGCUUAACACAUGCAAGUCGAACGGUGAAGCUCCAGCUUGCUGGCGUGGAUCAGUGGCGAACGGGUGAGUAACACGUGAGCAACCUGCCCCAGACUCUGGAAUAAGCGCUGGAAACGGCGUCUAAUACUGGAUACGAGAUCAAGCCGCAUGGUUAUGGUCUGGAAAGUUUUUCGGUUUGGGAUGGGCUCGCGGCCUAUCAGCUUGUUGGUGAGGUAAUGGCUCACCAAGGCGACGACGGGUAGCCGGCCUGAGAGGGCGACCGGCCACACUGGGACUGAGACACGGCCCAGACUCCUACGGGAGGCAGCAGUGGGGAAUAUUGCACAAUGGGCGAAAGCCUGAUGCAGCGACGCCGCGUGAGGGAUGACGGCCUUCGGGUUGUAAACCUCUUUCAGCAGGGAAGAAGCGAAAGUGGCGGUACCUGCAGAAGAAGCACCGGCUAACUACGUG